GUUUUAACAGAUAUUUUCUGAGUAUUGUAGCUAACAAAAAGCUAGCGCUUUAGUGCAAGGCUAACUCAUAUGUUGAAUAGAAAGUUUGUGCGGACAGAUGAUGCUAUGAAAGAUUCUGAAGAGACUGCAACAGCCUUCAAUACAGACACACACACAGUCAGCUUUACCGUAUCCCUCGUGCGGCUACGCCUCGAGGCAUAACUAAUGUAGCUACUAUACUGUGUAUGUGCAUGAUGCUAGUAGGCGGGGCAUAACGAGGAUGGAAUAUGACGACACAUAAAUUCAGUGUGCGUUUCCUAUCAUAUAAAAAGACAGACAGACACACAGUCAGCUUUACCGUAUCCCUCGUGCGGCUACGCCUCGAGACAUAAUAAAUAGCAAAAUACAAUCAUGUACAGCGCAUACGCAGAAAGGUCAAAAGGUCAUUUCAGCAGUCCAUUCUAGUCCAGUCCACUGACUACAGAAAGCCGGCUGCUAUAUAUGCAGUAUCUAACCAAAGAGUUGAAUACGUGCACCACGUGGAUUUUGGGCUGCAAAUUAAAACGGGCCCGUAAUUACAGGCAUGAAAUGCUUUGUGAUUAUUUUGGCUGGUAUAUUGAUUCUCUGUUGCUAAGGACUUACAUGUACUUCACAUGACUUCCUGUGUUCCGGCCAUGAAUCUAAUUAACGAGGUGCCUAAUAUUUGACUACACAGCUAAGCUGACUUGAAAGCUUGUGAGAAUGGAGUGCUAUCUUGUUCCUGAUCCAUAUCUUCCAACUAUCAACACAACCCUGCCAGAUGUCUUCAUUGCUCAAGCAGUAGUUCUCUCAGUGGUGUUUCCACUGAGCUUUGUUGGGACGGUGUUGAAUAUUGUGUUUAUCUGUCGAAGGAAGACUAACUUUCUAGUAAGAAGGAUAGUCUACAUGACUGUCGUCACUACACUGCAGCUUGGAGUAUUAUGGCUUUGGAGCAUUCCUGCAUUCAAACCAGAUAAGUCAAUGUUCAACUUUUGUUACGAAGUUGAACGUGUGUACACCAGUGUGGCAAAUAUAGGUGUAAAUUGGACCAUGACUAUACUGGUCUGCUCUAUCUACUUUACCCUAGUAACAAAACUGUGUGGUUGUUUCUCAAGAUGGCGUCCUUGGAGUGAUCGAUCGCGUUUGCUAUUGGAAUUUAUAUUUGUCAUGAUAGCAUUGCUUGUUGGGUUGGUGUUUAGUGUGCUGGGAUAUUUCUAUAUACACUUAAUCGGCUUCAAUUUGUACCUUCUAAUUAGUAUAUCCAUACCACCUGCACUAGUACUAAUAAGCUUCAUAGGAAAUGUUGUUUUAACUAUAUGGUUUUGUACUCUAUGGAGAAGGCAAAUUGCAAGGAGAAGAGAUGUACUGAAAGAAAUAGGAAUAUUCUUUGCUCUGUUUUUAUUUACUCUGUUUGUGUUUGGAUUGGAUACUCGUUUAGAGUUUCAUUUUCCUACGCUUGCACAGAUAGUACUAUCUUCUCCUCUAUCGUGUUUCCCAUUGCUAGUUUUUGGCUACAUGUGCUACAGUUUUCGUAGCAGAACGAGACAUGAGAGGUUUGCCAAUAGAGCAGAUAUCGAGACGGCUGGUCCAGGACUACGAACUGCUCCACCCUCCACUAGAGUCAGCCUACCUACGGACACAGCCGAUCAUGCUCCCAACUUCCUGAGCCCAAGCACAGCUGAGCCUUCAGAAGUGACACCAUUGAUAAACUAAUUAGUGACAUAAUUAUGAUUGAUUUAGCUAAAAACACAUUCUAACUGUAGAAUACACCUAUAGGGCUGCUUGUAUAUAUAUAAUUUAUGUAAUUUUUAGUGUGCUGUAGUUUUUAUUUUCACCAUGUUGUAUGCUUUCUUAAAUUCUACACGUGCUAAGACAGUUGCUGAAUCCUGUGUGUUUACUGGCUCACUUGAACCACUGAUGAGUAUCUGGAUGACGUUGGCUCGCUCCCCCCAAAUGAAUAUGAAUGGGGCCCAUUAGCUGGGUGUGGCCUGGCCAACCGUUCUGACAGGUGGCCAGGGAACAUGCCAAUGCAAAGCUGGUCUUGAGGCGUGUAUCUCUGCUUCUGAGCAAAAUUAGCUUAAGCUUACAGAAAUUAAAAACCAGGCUAGAAUUCUAAGUAGUCUGCAAGUAGUCUGCAAAAGAGAAAUCCAACUAGUGACCUUAAUUGUAGCUAAGGUCAAGUGGUUCCUCCAGGUGCAGCCCAAUCAGACAAAGAUAAGGAUAUUCAUGACUCAAACAUCGAUAUUUAUAACCAGAUGUGUAGUAUACCCCACUUGGGGUUGGUAUCAUAUCAACUGGGUGGGGUACCAUAAUUUCUUAAUACAAGAGACUCAGGUAGUUAAGUUGGUCAAUUCAUUUUUUCUGCAAAAAAAGUCUUAAACUAUUGUAGAUAUUCUCAGGCUAGGGGACUCAUUCUAUAACUAGAGCACUGAAGUGCUAACCCUCGGCUGUAGACCAGAGGAGCACGUGUAGAGCUAAGGCAAUGUGCAAGUUUAGAUCUUAAGGUUUUGUCGUUUUUAUAUUACAACAAAGCUUUAACAUCGAAAUCUUCCAUUUUUAAAAACUAAUAACUUGUUGUCUAUCCAUGCUGUAAACGCAGUGCUAUGGCAUCCAGGUGAGUAGACUCACAUGUCACACACAAAAACAAACAAACCAACCGACUACUAUACCCGUGGCAACCCAUGCGUGCCUCGGGUAACAAAAGCUUAAAAUAACAAUACAACAAAACAACAGUCAUCGAAUUGGAGCAUUCCUGCAUUCAAACGAGACGAGUAAAUGUACGACUUUUGUUACGAAGUUGAAUAUGUGUGUGUCAGUGUGACAAAUAUAGGUGUAAUGUGGAUUAUGGCUCUACUGGUCUGCUCUAUCUACUUCACCCUUUUGUACUGCACAAAGGUCAAAAUGUCCCUCCAGUAGUCCAGUCCACUGAUUACAAAGCCGGCUGCUAUGCAGUAUCUAACGAAUAUACCAUGAAUGUGGAUUUUGGGCUGUAAAACGGGCCGUAACAAGCAUGAAACGCGCUGUGCAGUAUUGGCUGCAUGUGUACACAGCCAAAAAUCCACAGGCCUGUUUCAGGCCCGUGGGGAAAAUCAGUUGAAUACAGGCCGGAAUACGGGCCUGUAUGCGGAUGUAAUCGCCCACGGCCCGCUUACAUCCUGGAACCACAGGCCUGUUACAGCACGUACAUCCUGUCCUGAAUACGGACUGUAAAUAACGGGCCUGUUUCAGCCUGUACCACCCACGUCCUGCUUACAGCCUGUGCAGCCAGUGUAUGCGCAUGCGCAGAGAGAAAGUUGCUUAGCUACGAAAUCCACCAAGAGACUGAAAAGGUGCUUCAGUUUGAUGUUCUCGUUCAGUUGCAGCUUUAAAGGAUGGAUGGAGUAAUUAUAUUAUUUAUGGAGCUGACUGCCAAGGCCAGCUAGCAAGAAAAGAGAGAGAGAGGAACUGCUAGAUGUCUCUGCAAUUCUUCUUUCACUGUCUCUAGGAGUCUAGCUCUAUAGGCUACAAGAUCUGGUUGCCUCUGACGCAGGUUGUUGACUUCUUCUACAACGUUUAAUAUAAGAAUACACAUCUAAAAAGGACCUCUACAACGACUACUAUAUAAAUGUACCUGUGUCUAUGUCAUCAUUACUGUACUGAUUGAGCUCGAGAUUGAGGUUCCUUGUCACACUACUUGAGAAUAUGUACAUAUAUAAAUUGGAAUGCUCAUGCCAUCAAUGAUUUCAACCCAUCAUGACCCCAGAAGCAUCGUGGACACACCUAUACUUUAGGAACUAUCAGAAUUUGGCAGUUAAGUUACUGGCUGUGGACAUGGCUGGUCUGUGACAGUACAAACAGUCAAACAAAAAAUGUAUAAUGUGACAGAGGACAUGGCUGGUCUGUGGACAGUACGAACAGUCGAACAACACAUUAUAUUGUGACAGAGGACAUGGCUGGUCUGUGGACAGUACGAAAAGUCGAACAACACAUUAUAUUGUGACAGAGGACAUGGCUGGUCUGUGGACAGUACGAACAGUCGAACAACACAUUAUAUUGUGUGACAGAGGACAUGGCUGGUAGUACAAACAGUCAAACAGAAAAUUUAUAAAUUGACACACUCGAGCAGCACAAGCACUAGAAGAAACAUUUCUAUUAGUGUUGUAAACUGUCGAACUGUCUGGCUAUGUUUGUUUCUUAAAAAUUUUAACACUUCGUUGAAUUAUUCAUGCCAAA